GGCAGUCUGGUGCCAGCAGCCGCGGUAAUUCCAGCUCCAAUAGCGUAUAUUAAAGUUGUUGCAGUUAAAAAGCUCGUAGUUGAACCUCGGGAUCAAUGGAUCGGUCAUGCCAUCGGUAUGUACUGGUCUCAUUGGUUCUCACCUUCUAAGGAACCAUGAUGUCAUUCAGUUGAUGUUGUGGGGAAUUAGGACUGUUACCUUGAAAAAAUUAGAGUGUUUAAAGCAGGCUAACGCUUGAAUACAUUAGCAUGGAAUAAUGAAAUAGGACAUCGCAUUCUAUUUUGUUGGUUUCUAGGAUCGAUGUAAUGAUUAAUAGGGAUAGUUGGGGGCAUUAGUAUUCAAUUGUCAGAGGUGAAAUUCUUGGAUUUAUUGAAGACUAACUACUGUGAAAGCAUUUGCCAAGGAUGUUUUCAUUAAUCAAGAACGAAAGUUAGGGGAUCGAAGACGAUCAGAUACCGUCGUAGUCUUAACCAUAAACUAUGCCGACUAGGGAUCGGAUGAUGUUGAUUUUUUAAUGACUCAUUCGGCGCCUUACGGGAAAC
rnacentral:rRNA from 1 species